rnacentral:rRNA from 1 species
GACGAACGCUGGCGGCGUGCUUAACACAUGCAAGUCGAGCGGUAAGGCCCUUUCGGGGGUACACGAGCGGCGAACGGGUGAGUAACACGUGGGUGACCUGCCCUCAGCUCUGGGAUAAGCCUGGGAAACCGGGUCUAAUACUGGAUAUGACUCCAUGACGCAUGUUGUGGGGUGGAAAGCCUUGUGCGGCUGAGGAUGGGCCCGCGGCCCAUCAGCUUGUUGGUGGGGUGANGGCCUACCAAGGCGACGACGGGUAGCCGGCCUGAGAGGGCGACCGGCCACACUGGGACUGAGACACGGCCCAGACUCCUACGGGAGGCAGCAGUGGGGAAUCUUGCGCAAUGGGCGAAAGCCUGACGCAGCGACGCCGCGUGAGGGAUGACGGCCUGGUU